rnacentral:tRNA from 1 species
UGGGGUAUAGCCAAGCGGUAAGGCAGCGGGUUUUGAUCCCGCGAUUCCGAGGUUCGAAUCCUCGUACCCCAG